rnacentral:rRNA from 1 species
UUUAUGGAGAGUUUGAUCCUGGCUCAGGAUGAACGCUGGCGGCGUGCCUAAUACAUGCAAGUCGAGCGGAGCCCUUC